GAUGAACGCUGGCGGCGUGCCUAAUACAUGCAAGUCGAGCGAACGGACGAGAAACUUGCUUUUCUGAUGUUAGCGGCGGACGGGUGAGUAACACGUGGAUAACCUACCUAUAAGACUGGGAUAACUUCGGGAAACCGGAGCUAAUACCGGAUAAUAUUUUUAAACGCAUGUUUCAAAAGUGAAAGACGGUCUUGCUGUCACCUAUAGAUGGAUCCGCUCUGCAUUAGCUAGUUGGUAAGGUAACGGCUUACCAAGGCAACGAUGCAUAGCCGACCUGAGAGGGUGAUCGGCCACACUGGAACUGAGACACGGUCCAGACUCCUACGGGAGGCAGCAGUAGGGAAUCUUCCGCAAUGGGCGAAAGCCUGACGGAGCAACGCCGCGUGAGUGAUGAAGGUCUUCGGAUCGUAAAACUCUGUUAUUAGGGAAGAACAUAUGUGUAAGUAACUGUGCACAUCUUGACGGUACCUAAUCAGAAAGCCACGGCUAACUACGUG
rnacentral:rRNA from 1 species